rnacentral:sRNA from 1 species
UGGCAAUCUAGCUGGAUAGCAUCCCUGCCCCUUGAAGAGAUGUUUUUGUGGCCCCACACUACUGACUUAGGCAUAAUGCCUAGAGAUGGAUUAGAACUGCGCAAUGAACUAGUGGUGAGGUUCAGUUUAAUGGAAAUCGGUGAAAGCUUUCAGGAUCAAAUGAUAAUCUUUGUUUCUUUCUUUCAGGAAAAUGGCAGACAAUUUUUCGGUAAGUGUUUUAUGCCUGUUUCUUCCCCUCGAUCAGCUCCACAUGGUUGAGGGUUGGGGGUUUUGUUUUUACCAUGACUUUCCCUUUUCACUCUCCCACUGCGUGGCUUCCCCUGGACUCAUUUGUCCAAUGAGGGCUUGCAAGCUGGAGCCUUGUUUUUCCAGCAGCAGAUGUGGGAAGAAAGCCAGGCAGAGUGAGGCCUGGGACUCACUCACAGUAACCCUUUCACCAAAAGGCCCAGGGCGGAAGGGAGUGGACUCUGCCGGCAGGAGCUGAGAAAUCCUCUGAGUAGCGGGAAGUGUGGUACAGUCUGGGCAUUCUGAUGUUUGUGAUUGUUUUUCUCAUGGUGAUGAAAAAGUAUGUGCUAUAGUAGAGGAGCGCUAACUCCUGACUUGAGCUAAUUAUGAAAAUGCAGCCCUCCCUGAUCUGAGACGUUGGGAGGCAAGAAUAAAGUGAAAAAGUAUAUGUAAUCCCAACAUCUAAUUUUAGUCUUAGAAACUCAAACUAUUAAUAAGUGGAAAAAGUUUAAUGAUAUGCAUGUAAUGCCUUUGCCAUAUUCCUCUCCUUAGAUCACAUAUUCCUAUUUUCCUGAAAAUUCUGCUUUUGAGAAUGCUUUCUGUCCCGUAAUUGUGUAUGUCUUUCUUUCCAGCUCCAUGAUGCGUUAUCUGGGUCUGGAAACCCAAACCCUCAAGGAUGGCCUGGUGCAUGGGGGAACCAGCCUGCUGGGGCAGGGGGCUACCCAGGGGCUUCCUAUCCUGGGGCCUACCCCGGGCAGGCACCCCCAGGGGCUUAUCCUCGACAGGCACCUCCAGGCGCCUACCCUGGAGCACCUGGAGCUUAUCCCGGAGCACCUGCAUCUGGAGUCUACCCAGGGCCACCCAGCGGCCCUGGGGCCUACCCAUCUUCUGGACAGCCAAGUGCUCCCGGAGCCUACCCUGCCACUGGCCCCUAUGGCGCCCCUGCUGGGCCACUGAUUGUGCCUUAUAACCUGCCUUUGCCUGGGGGAGUGGUGCCUCGCAUGCUGAUAACAAUUCUGGGCUCGGUGAAGCCCAAUGCAAACAGAAUUGCUUUAGAUUUCCAAAGAGGGAAUGAUGUUGCCUUCCACUUUAACCCACGCUUCAAUGAGAACAACAGGAGAGUCAUUGUUUGCAAUACAAAGCUGGAUAAUAACUGGGGAAGGGAAGAAAGACAGUCGGUUUUCCCAUUUGAAAGUGGGAAACCAUUCAAAAUACAAGUACUGGUUGAACCUGACCACUUCAAGGUUGCAGUGAAUGAUGCUCACUUGUUGCAGUACAAUCAUCGGGUUAAAAAACUCAAUGAAAUCAGCAAACUGGCAAUUUCUGGUGACAUAGACCUCACCAGUGCUUCAUAUACCAUGAUAUAAUCUGAAAGGGGCAGAUUAAAAAAAAAAAAAGAAUCUAAACCUUACAUGUGUAAAGGUUUCAUGUUCACUGUGAGUGAAAAUUUUUACAUUCAUCAAUAUCCCUCUUGUAAGUCAUCUACUUAAUAAAUAUUACAGUGAAUUA